rnacentral:rRNA from 1 species
UACAGAGGGGGCAAGCGUUAUUCGGAAUUAUUGGGCGUAAAGAGCGUGUAGGCGGCCAAGCAGGUCCGCUGUGAAAACUCGAGGCUCAACCUCGAGACGUCGGUGGAAACCGUUUGGCUAGAGUCCGGAAGAGGAGAGUGGAAUUCCCGGUGUAGCGGUGAAAUGCGCAGAUAUCGGGAAGAACACCCGUGGCGAAGGCGGCUCUCUGGGACGGUACUGACGCUGAGACGCGAAAGCGUGGGGAGCGAACAGG